CGCGAAGAACCUUACCUGGUCUUGACAUCCACAGAACAUUCCAGAGAUGGGAUGGUGCCUUCGGGAACUGUGAGACAGGUGCUGCAUGGCUGUCGUCAGCUCGUGUUGUGAAAUGUUGGGUUAAGUCCCGCAACGAGCGCAACCCUUAUCCUUUGUUGCCAGCGGUCCGGCCGGGAACUCAAAGGAGACUGCCAGUGAUAAACUGGAGGAAGGUGGGGAUGACGUCAAGUCAUCAUGGCCCUUACGACCAGGGCUACACACGUGCUACAAUGGCGCAUACAAAGAGAAGCGACCUCGCGGGAGCAAGCGGACCUCAUAAAGUGCGUCGUAGUCCGGAUUGGAGUCUGCAACUCGACUCCAUGAAGUCGGAAUCGCUAGUAAUCGUGGAUCAGAAUGCCACGGUGAAUACGUUCCCGGGUCUUGUACACACC
rnacentral:rRNA from 1 species